CCCGCCGAGGGGCGCUGCGACCGUUUGAUGUGAAUGCGGCUCCGUCCGCUUCACCCGACCGGCCAGGCUCGGCGCGGCACGUUCCACAACGGCGCUCUCACGCG
rnacentral:ncRNA from 2 species